rnacentral:rRNA from 1 species
GUAGGUGGCAAGCGUUGUCCGGAAUUAUUGGGCGUAAAGCGCGCGCAGGCGGUUCUUUAAGUCUGAUGUGAAAGCCCACGGCUCAACCGUGGUGGGUCAUUGGAAACUGGAGAACUUGAGUACAGAAGAGGAAAGCGGAAUUCCACGUGUAGCGGUGAAAUGCGUAGAGAUGUGGAGGAACACCAGUGGCGAAGGCGGCUUUCUGGUCUGUAACUGACGCUGAGGCGCGAAAGCGUGGGGAGCAAACAGGAUUAGAUACCCUGGUAGUCCACGCCGUAAACGAUGAGUGCUAAGUGUUAGGGGGGUUUCCGCCCCCCUUAGUGCUGCAGCUAACGCAUUAAGCACUCCGCCUGGGAGUACGGCCGCAAGGCUG